rnacentral:piRNA from 1 species
UACCUUGGAGUGACGUGUGGCCAGGGA